AAAAAAAUAAACCCUGGGUUUUUUUUUCAAUGUUUGACCAUCCGUCUUAUAUGAAUUUUUUUUAUAAUUAGUAUUUUAAUUGUUGUUAGAUGAUAAAACAUGAUUAAUACUUUAUGUGUGACUUGUUUUUUCAAUUUUUUUUAUAAUUUUUUUAAAUAAGACGGAUGAUCAAACGUUGGACACGGAAACCUAGG
rnacentral:pre_miRNA from 1 species